rnacentral:lncRNA from 1 species
UGCUAUAAAUAAAAUAUUUCAAUAAUAUUGCAAUACUUAGGAUAACUAAAAAAAAUAUUCUUGCUUGAAAAUACUCUAAAGGAAACUGAUAGGGACUUGCUGAAGUUUCUGAAACAGCGUAAAGAGUAAUCCAUCGAGCUACAUUUGCAAUUCCAAAGAAGAAAGAGAGUAACAUUCCUUUCAAGCUGGCAUUCCCUUGAAAUACUUACAAGUUUCGAGUAAUUACCCAAACAUAGCUGGGAUCUUAAAAGACUUCAAUUCAACAGAACUUCAUAGCCAAUCCCUACAUUAUCUCAGUCCAAACAUAGCUGGGAUACUGCUCCAUUAGUUAGUUAUACCUGAAUGGCUAUCCAAACAAGGACGUUGAAGUCAAGUAUAUAAAGACCCAAGAUUAAGCCGCAGACAUUUUCACUAAACCACUCAAACAUUAUGUUAUUGCCAAGAUGAAAGAUAUGCUAGGAGUUACAAAGAAAUUAAGUUUAGGGGAUGAUGUUAAAAGUAAACCAAAUUUCAAUUUUUUUAAAAAAAAUAAAGGAAUUGGUUGAUUGGUUGAAUUAAAUAAAUCAAUCAACCGGUUAAGUCAAUGGAAUAUGUUUACUGUUCAAAUUAAGAUUAUUAUUUUUUAGUAGUUUAAGUUCUUAUUUGUUUAGGACUUGAAGCCUAUAAAUAAGCUUGUAAUCAUAAGCAUAAUUUAAUAUGUGUAGAGAGGAAUACACAAGAAAUGAAAAACACGUGUGUGCAUUUAUACAUAAUGUGAAAAACAUAAUUAGAAUGCUUAUUGAGUAAAGAUAAUUAAUAUGUAACCCUUUUUUUCCCCUGAAAUACUUGUUUUCAAGUUGUAGCAUGUACCAAGUCACAUUAUGCCUUAAUGUUUUUCUUAUUUUAUGCUGAUUGAAGGCUAAUGUUCAGGAACGUGUUGGUCUUUGCAACAACAUCAUGCUUUCAAGUUUCAACCUAUUACGAGGAUAGUUUAAAGAUUUAUACGAGGGUUUGGAAGUAUAGUAACAGUUAUACUAUGUAGGUUGAAACUUGAAAAUAUAUUAAAAUAUUUUUUAUUUUUAAAAAAAUAUUUUUGAUAUCAUCAUAUCAAAACAAUUUAAAAACAUAAAAAAAUAAUUUUAAAUAAAUUUUUUUAAAAAUUUUAUAUAAUUCUAUUUAGAACAAGAACACGAUACCAAACGAAUGCCAUGAGUCAUUGAAAAAGCUUGUCAUCUUGCGUAGAAAGGAGGGUACAUAUCCAAACAUCAUUGACACCCAUAUAAUUUUUUUUUCAACACUUGUUUCUAGACAAAUGUUUUCUAGAAUCACUUACAAUAUGAGAAUCUGGUGAUGUGCAUCAUGGGAAUUAUAAUCCAUCUCGUAAAGCUGAAUCUAAUGUGCAAGAGGAUUCAGAUCCAAUGACAAAAGCAAGAGCGAAACAACUACAACGGGCUUUAACGAAUCAAAUUGCAAUGAUUGAAGAUGCGUCGGAGUUAAAAAUUAGCAAUCAGUUUGAAAUUGGUUCAAAGGUGCUUAUUUUCCUACAAUUGGAACUUGGAGAUGGGAAAAGCCCUUAAUGGUUCUUUUGAUCCUGGGCUACUUGUAUUUGGAUUGAUAAUGCAAGUGAAGGAAUUGAUGUUGUUUACGGUCAGAACAGUAGAUGGAUUUGAACCCGAAUUUGAAGUCAUCCAAUGCAUGUGAAAACAAGAUUAUGUAGGUAAAAUUCAAGUUCAGAACGUGAUCUUUCUAGAUUGUCCACCAUGAUUACAUUGGAUUUUUGUGUCAAAAGUUAUGGCUGUUUUAAAUUUGGUCUGCUUGUGUUUUAGAAAUGUAAAAAAACGUGUGUUAGUUAAAUUUGUCUACUUACUUUAUUAAAAGUCUAGUUUUAGGCUUGACUUCUUCAUGUUGAAUUCACCUAACUUUGGAGGGAUAAUAAUAUGUAUCAGAAUAUGUAAUAAACACUUUUGGCCAAGAUUUGAAACUUAAUUCAGAGAAUUAAGAGUUGUUCUUCCAAAUUCGUUUGUGAAGAACCCUACCUGACUUAUCACUCUUCAAUGACAAAGAGUGUGGCGUCGAAAUCCUAGAUUGAUCUUUGUGGCCCAGAUCGACUUAUCAAAGUAUCAUUCUAGUCUAUCCUCCAUUUUAUUUACCUUAAAUCACUACAAUACAGCCUAAAUACAACAAGAAAGACAACACAACCAGACCCAUCCUUCAUCCAUUUUCGUCAGAAUCAUUGUUGCCGAUUUUCGAAUCAUUCCCGUGCACAUCAUCUGGUGUUUUACUUUUAACACACAAUACACUAGCUCUGCUACCAAUUCAGGAUUUUUAAUUAGUAAGAUUUUAUUAUCACACUUUUAUUUGGCAUGGUUUGGUUACAAGGACUAAAAAAUAUGAACGAGGAUAAGGUCUUUACUCACAUUUUCAAUGAGGUUGAGAGUUGUACUAUGAUUGAAAAGGGAAUGCAAGUUAAAUUGUAUUACCUUGAAAGAUGACCAAUGUUUACCUCUCUUCUGCUACCAUCGCCAUUGUUUUCAACAGAUUGUCAACGUAUGCUUGUGUUUCUUGUAAUUGUGCUUACAAGAAGGUCAGUAAACCUUUGGAGGUCACGUUACAAAUGAUGGGCAAACCGCCAUUUUAGCAUGGGAAAGCUGGCAUCAGAUAUCGCUACAGGAAACUUUUAUUUAUCCUUUUGAUUAUUUAUUACAAUUUGAAUGUCCCCCAUAUGCAUCCCAAGGAGUACAAUGGUUUGAUCAUGCAUCCUAGUCCUUAAUGAAUGAUCAUGUCUACUUGAAACACUCACCGAGGUCAAGAGCGAAGCCAUGUUGAAAGCUUGGGUGUGCUGUAACCCAGGUCAAGAUUUACUCCAUCAAUAUAUUAAAAUAUUGAUGAAGGCUUAGGUGUAAUAGAUUUAUUGUUGAAGCUUAGGUGCAAUAAAUGAUCAUGAUAUAUAUUGAUGGAUUAAAAUGAAAGGGGAGCUCUUAGUAUAUUUUAUGAGGAUAUACAAUGAACAAGAGCUUGCUGAGGAUAUCUGUAAACCUUCUGGGCAAAAAAAUAAAUUCAUUAGUUUUAUAUAAAAAACAAAUUCGUAAUUCUCGAUCGGGUUAUUAGAAAAUUCUGCAAAUUUGCGUGGAGCCUUUUAAUAUGAUGCUUUAGCUAGGUUAAAAUUUCAGCAUUUCUGGAGUAAUUCAAAAUUUUGAUUUAAAUCACAAUUUUGACCAGUUUUAUGUUAUUGAGCUUAAUUUUCAAUCUGACCAUCAGAUUAAGCUGAAAUUUUAUAAGGGACCUUAAAAUAUAUUGAAUAAAAUCUAGUUAAAAUUUUAGGAUGAACAGAGCUUGGUAGUGAUAAAAAAAAAUAAAGACCAUCAAAUAGAAGCAAAAAAGACUUAUUAAGGGUUAAAUGGUUAUUUUCCCUUAAAAAAUAAAACAAACCAGUUUUUCCUUUUUUUUAUAUGUUGCCAACUGCGCAGAAGCAGAACUGGAAAAGAAAGAAUAGAAAAGGCGAGAGAGAAAAGUAAGGGGAAAAUAUAAAAAAAAAAUCCAAGAAAAAAAAAUAAAAAAAGUGAAAGAAAAACCUUAUAAACUUGCAAAAUCCAACAUAUGAAACACUAAUCUAAGAAAGAAUCAAGUGAAGGAAAGAGAAAUUGAGAGAUAAAAAAAAUUUAAUACACCCGACUUAUUUUGUCAGGUCAUGGGUUGACCUACCAGGUUGACCAAGUUUUACCAGGUUGUUGCCCCGACCAAUCUUUUAUUAAACCUAGACCGGUCCAGCCACCAGGUCCUGGGUUGACCCGUCAGGCCAGGUUUAAUAACUAGGGUUUUAUAUGUUAUAUAUUUUUGAUGUCGACAUUUGGAAUGUUUCAAAUACAAAGAAGGCUAUCAAAAUUUCAAAAAAAUCUUAAUCAGUUAGAAAUAUAAAUACUUUUAGAUUCAUUUAAUCGAUCACUAAAAUUAUUAUAUAAAACGGUCAAUUGUUUCAUAAACCAAUUAAAAAGAUGUAUUAUUUUCAGACUUAAUAUAAAAAAAUUUAUAUAUGCUAUAAAUAAAAUAUUUCAAUAAUAUUGCAAUACUUAUGAUAACUAAAAAAAUUAUUCUUGCUUGAAAAUACUCUAAAAGAAUUUCAAAUAAUUAAUCGAGACACAUUCUACAAAAUUCUUGAAAAUCUUUAUUAUUUUCACAGGAUAUUGCGCUUGGCAAAACCUUUUAAGGCGGUCUACAUGAUUGUUCCUGCUGUUGCCAAGGAGGCUAGAACGAUCAUUUGAAUGCAACAAAGCCUCUCAGCCUUUCAAGGUUGUUUUUUAAGAUAAUAAUAGCAUCACAAGUUAAUGAAACUUUGUGAAGAGAGGCACAAUUUUAAGUUUUUGAUCCUAAAGAAUUGAGAGCAUGGCAAGCUGCAAUGCCAACACAGAAGGGUGCAUAUUGUGGCUGCUAACUAUAUGGUUUUUUCCCUUCAUGCUUCCCCCAGUAAUGAAAAUGCAUGGAGAUCUCCUUGAAACAUCGACCGAUGUUGUGUUUCAAGUGCCAAUUUACUUGUUUGAAAUCAUUAGAGCAAAAAAUGAUAGCCAAGAACUCGGUUUAGAACCUUAUAGCAACUAAAUUGGAUCGUUUUCUUCUCCUCUGUUUUGUUGCUCUUAUUUGCAACAGGCGACUGGAAGCUUUAAACUUACAAAACAGCAUGUGCACUUCAUAUGCAUGGGAAAGACUUCAGGCAUAUUACAGAGGCUUACGCUGCCUUACAAAAGGAAACUGAUAGGGACUUGCUGAAGUUUCUGAAACAGCGUAAAGAGUAAUCCAUCGAGCUACAUUUGCAAUUCCAAAGAAGAAAGAGAGCAACAUUCCUUUCAAGCUGGCAUUCCCUUGAAAAUACUUACAAGUUUUUCGAGUAAUUACCCAAACAUAGCUGGGAUCUUAAAAGACUUCAAUUCAACAGAACUUCAUAGCCAAUCCCUACAUUAUCUCAGUCCAAACAUAGCUGGGAUACUACUCCAUU